UUUGAAUUUGCAGAUUUUUUUUAAGAAUGGAAACGCAUAAGUCUAUUCCAAACCUUUCAAAUAAGUUUGUUUUUCUGUCCACCUUGCUGCGGUUUACUUAUUCACUGCAGUGAAAUGCCACUUCCUAUGCGGUGGGACAUACGAGCAGACGCGCGAUCCGCUUCAAUAUAGUUCAAACAAAGCUUUCGCAGCUACCGCAUCCCUCCCUUAUUAAAUUUUUGUUCAUUAUACAUAUCAAAUAGAGAACAUUUAUUUUUUGAAAAAUAUGAAAUUGCUUAUAUUUACCUCAUACAGUUUAUUCGCACUCACGAAAUUUGCAGACUAGAAACAUCGGCCCACAUAUCAUGUUUUUUUGGACGCCUGAAAAAUAACAUGACGGCUUCUAGGUGCUGUUGAAGAGGACUGCACAGACUUUCAAGGGAACACUAUAGCUCAUGGGUUAUACUAUGUACCGGGACCAGCUGUAUGCACUAUGUGCGUAUGUUAUCACUCAGAACCAAUGUGGUGUAGAGCCAUUUAUUGCGAUCCUCCCUAUGUGAGUCCCAUUUCGUUAUCAUAUUACAGUUUCAUAUUUUUUCCUACGGUAAAAAUUGGAGAUAAAACUAUGCUUAAUUUUCACCCUCAACAAUUUCUAGAAAAAAAAAAAAACAAGAAAAAUAUUUUUGAGUAACCUUGAAUUCUCAAAUGAUAACUUCCAUCGCCAGUUUUCUUGAAUGAAAACUUUCAUGGAGCUGAAAACUAAAAAAAUUAAAACUCUCUUGAUGACUUAGCGUAACUCUGACCAGUUACUUCAAUACCAUACCGUUAUUCAUUUGGCGUGAAGGUUUCAAUUUUUGCUUCUUCUGAAAACGUUAUAUAAGGGAUAUUUACUUCUAGACCAUCAUUAUCAUUCAUAAUCAUUAUUAAUAUAACGCAACUAGCACUGUAGUUUGGAUGCUACAUUCAGCUAAUAUAUUUUAUAAGCAUGGCAUAAAUAUAUGCAAUGACUAAAGAUGUAAUUAUUAUUCAAUAGAAAUCAAAAGAAUUAAUUGAUUUUUUCAGUUUUGUAAAAAAUUCCGAGUUGGAGAAACAUGCUGCGAGUUCAUUUGUUUGGAACCUCCAGGCGACGAAGCUGCUAAAGCAUUAGAAAAAUACAGGCGGAACCUGCAAAUGAAUGCCCAGGAAAUGAUCAAAUCAUCUGCCUUG